rnacentral:rRNA from 1 species
AUGCGUUAUGUGAAUCCUGCUUCGGGUUGCUCGGCCAAGGCCAUGGACACUCUGCAGAUUAUGUCAGUCAAAGUUGCAGCAAUCAACGGGGGCUUGCACUGGCCACUACAAGAUUGCUACCUAGCACUGUCCGGUCCUAGCCGUGCCAUUGUCGUCUCAUAUGAUCCUACAUACGUUGAGGUUUCGCUCAAAGUGAAGGGCGCUAUUGAAUCUGAGGAUAAAGAUUUAAGUGCUCUCAUUGUGGUGUUUAGAGCUGGAGCCUGUCCUCAAAAUGUCUACCCUAGCAGGCUUAGCACGCUGGAAAUGAAUUUUGAUCACAUUUAUCAAUCGGUGGAGGCCACGGUCUUUAUAAGAAUUAUUGGCGGGUCGUGGCCGGAUGGCUUUCGGGGUGUAUUUAGUGCUGCCUCCAGUAGGGAUGACACCCUGCAAGUCAAGUUACUUGAGUUUGAAGAUGGUAGGUUGCCUGCUGACUCUAACGGUGUGAUCGCGCUCACACGACGUGUGGUCUCUGUUGCGCUUCAGAGGAACUUGAAGGUUUCUGUAAUGGCAUUUCCAAGAAACGUGGGAUAUGCUGCUGAGACCAGUGAAGCAGUUUUACAACCUCAUAGAGCCGGUGUAAGCCCCCCAGGAGUCAAUCUCUGUGUUGGCUCGUGUAGUAUGGAAUGGUAUUGUGGCAUUUUUUCUAGUGGUGUAUGCUAG